rnacentral:rRNA from 1 species
CGGGUAGACUAGUGGAUCCCCCGGGCUGCAGCCCAAUGUGGAUUCGCCCUGGGGACCCCCCGCGGCGGGCGGGGCGGGGGGCACGGGGGGCCUACGGAAAGCAGCAGUGGGGAAUAUUGCACAAUGGGCGCAAGCCUGAUGCAGCGACGCCGCGUGAGGGAUGGAGGCCUUCGGGUUGUAAACCUCUUUUGUUUGG